rfam:Daucus carota subsp. sativus cultivar DH1 chromosome 5, whole genome shotgun sequence.
UUUCGAUGAUGAUAAAUGAUGAUGACGAGUCCGAUCUAAUCCAUUACAUUCAAUCGUGACUGACAGUCGAGGCAUUCCGCAUUUGUGUGAGAGAA